rnacentral:rRNA from 1 species
AGAGUUUGAUCCUGGCUCAGAGCGAACGCUGGCGGCAGGCUUAACACAUGCAAGUCGAGCGGGCGUAGCAAUACGUCAGCGGCAGACGGGUGAGUAACGCGUGGGAACGUACCUUUUGGUUCGGAACAACACAGGGAAACUUGUGCUAAUACCGGAUAAGCCCUUACGGGGAAAGAUUUAUCGCCGAAAGAUCGGCCCGCGUCUGAUUAGCUUGUUGGUGAGGUAACGGCUCACCAAGGCGACGAUCAGUAGCUGGUCUGAGAGGAUGAUCAGCCACAUUGGGACUGAGACACGGCCCAAACUCCUACGGGAGGCAGCAGUGGGGAAUAUUGGACAAUGGGCGCAAGCCUGAUCCAGCCAUGCCGCGUGAGUGAUGAAGGCCCUAGGGUUGUAAAGCUCUUUUGUGCGGGAAGAUAAUGACGGUACCGCAAGAAUAAGCCCCGGCUAACUUCGUGCCAGCAGCCGCGGUAAUCA